AUGGCCACAUGAGGUUGAAACACCAGUUCUCAUAUGAUCACUGAAGUUAAGCUAUGUUGAGCUUGGUCAGUACCAAAGUGGGUGACUGCUUGAGAAUACCAGGUGCAGUA